rnacentral:rRNA from 1 species
UCUCAGUAUAAGCAAUUGUACGGUGAAACUGCGCACGGCUCAUUAUAUCAGUUAUAGCUCUUUCUAUAGUGUCUCUUACAUGGAUACUUGUGGCAAAUCUAGAAACAAUACAUGCGUANAGGCCCGACUUUUUGGGAGGGCCGCAUUUAUUUGACUUAAACCANUACCCGCAAGGGUUGCUUUGGUGACUCAUAAUAACUCAGCGAAUCGCAGCGCUUCNGCGGCGAUGAAUAGUUCAGGUUUCUGCCCCAUCAGAUGUCUACGGUAGGGUAUUGGCCUACCGUGUCUAUCACGGGUGACAGGGAAUUANGGUUCGACUCUGGAGAGGGGGCCUUCGAGACGGCCACCACAUCCAAGGAAGGCAGCAGGCGCGUAAACUACUCAAUGCCGACUCGGCGAAGUGGUAACGAAAAAUAAGCAAGAGGAGCCCUUCGGGUUUCUCAUUGCGAAUGAGAGCAAUCUAAACACCUCAUUGAGGAUCAAUUGGAGGGCAAGUCUGGU